CCUACGGGAGGCAGAAGUGAGGAAUAUUGGUCAAUGGACGAGAGUCUGAACCAGCCAAGUAGCGUGAAGGAUGACUGCCCUAUGGGUUGUAAACUUCUUUUAUAUGGGAAUAAAAUGUUCCACGUGUGGGAUUUUGUAUGUACCAUAUGUAUAAGGAUCGGCUAACCCCGUGCCAGGAGCCGCGGUAAUACGGUGGAUCCGAGCGUUAUCCGGAUUUAUUGGGUUUAAAGGGAGCGUAGGUGGAUUGUUAAGUCAGUUGUGAAAGUUUGCGGCUCAACCGUAAAAUUGCAGUUGAAACUGGCAGUCUGGAGUAAAGUAGAGGUGGGCGGAAUUCGUGGUGUAGCGGUGAAAUGCUUAGAUAUCACGAAGAACACCGAUUGCGAAGGCAGUUCACUGGACUGCAACUGACACUGAGGCUCGAAAGUGUGGGUAUCAAACAGGAUUAGAUACCCGGGUAGUA
rnacentral:rRNA from 1 species